rnacentral:rRNA from 1 species
UACGUAGGGUGCAAGCGUUGUCCGGAAUUAUUGGGCGUAAAGAGCUCGUAGGCGGUCCGUCACGUCGGCUGUGAAAACCUGGGGCUCAACCCCGGGCCUGCAGCCGAUACGGGCGGACUAGGAUUCGGUAGGGGAGACUGGAAUUCCUGGUGUAGCGGUGAAAUGCGCAGAUAUCGGGAGGAACACCAGUGGCGAAGGCGACUAUCUGGGCUGCAACUGACGCUGAGGCGCGAAGGCUAGGGUAGCAAACGGG